ACAGUGAAAACCAAAGGAAUGAAGAUGCCCUGUGGAAAUACCUCAAGAGUCUGGAGGAAGAUAAUCACUACAAAUAUUUGGGCAUCCUUCAAGAUGAUAAUAUCAAGCACACUGUAGUCAAGAAGGUUAGAAGUGAAUACAUCAUAAGAGUGAAGACGUUUUUAAAGUUCAAAGUCAGUGGAGUCAUAUCCUCAAGUCUUAAAGUACAACACUGAAGACAUAAAUUAAAACUCGGAGAUACAGAAAGAAGGAUUUGAAAAAUGCUGUGCAUAUGCAAAAAGAGUGAAUGAAUCGCCCCAUCUUGUUCUCACCCAACACAGAAAUGACCCGCUCAAUUUUAGACACACUGUGUGAAGACCUAACUCACUGGAGAAGACACUAAUACUUGGAAAAGUGGAAGAAAAGAUAAGAAAAGCAAUUCCAUCUGAAUUAUUAGAAGACCUGAAAGACUUGACUAGGCACAAGUUGUCAUGGGGGUGGUAAUCUAUCUAUAUUGUUGCUAGGAGUCAAAAAUGACUUGGUGGCACCUAAUCAAUUAAACAAUCAUGUCUGCCUAAGUUCCAAAACAUGUUCACCUUUAUUGCGAAUGUCUACUAACUAGACCUACUGUGUAAUAUUAUCCAGAAAUAGAAACAUUUCUCCUCCUUUUCCAAACUGAAGAAUUAAACCAACACAGAA